rnacentral:rRNA from 1 species
GCGUAUAGUGGCGAACGGGUGAGUAACGCGUAAUCAACCUGCCCUUCAGAGGGGGACAACAGGUGGAAACGACUGCUAAUACCGCAUACUGAAGACAGGGAUUGCGUUGGAUUAGCUCGUUGGAGGGGUAACGGCCCACAAAGGUGAUGAUCAGUAGCCGGUCUGAGAUGAUGAAGGUCCAAAUUGUGACUGAGCAACGGCCCAGACUCCUACGGGAGGCAGCAGUGGUGAUCCUUCCGCAAUGGACGAAAGUCUGACGGAGCAACGCCUCGUGAGUGAUGACGGCCUUCGGGUUGUAAAGCUCUGUUAAUCGGGACGCGGUACCGGAAUAGAAAGCCACGGCUAACUACGUGCCAGCAGCCGCGGAAUAC